AAGUCCCGUGCUAGACAUUUGAUCCAAUCCAUGCGCGUUCUAUUUCCCCCAAAAUUGCUCUGGCCAUUUUCGUGUUCCCUCUCAGAUGCAAACCCUUCUCUUUCACCUUCCCUCAGUUUCAUUAUCAAAUUUUCACUUGGUCCUUUCAAUAAGCAAUUUUCUACUCUUUCCACCUCGGUGCAUCGACCAUCAUUGUUCUCUCAUCACUCAGCAAAGCCCUAAUCUUCUUCCCUGCCAUCCAAAAUACGGAGUCGAAUAGCUGAGGAGUGGAAUCCUUAGUCAAUCAAAGAUGAAAAUUCAGGUGGAGUUUAUGUUUUGAAUUGGUUUUUGUGUAAAUUUCUUUCUUGUUGAUGAUUUCAGAUCAGUAGAUCUUAAUCUAUCUCUAAUGGGUCAGUUAAGGUUUCAAAGAACACUCGGAGAUAGCCUCUCUCUCACUCUCUCUCUCUCUCUCUCUCUCUCUCUCUCUCAUCUUUACCCAAGCUUCAAUUGGGGAAAAAAUCAAAAACCCUAACUUUCAAUUAGGAUAAUAUCUACCAGGCUUGAUUCGCUUUACCGAUCUCAUCUUUACCCAAGCUUCAAUUGGGGAAAAAAAUCAAAAACCCUAACUUUCAAUUAGGAUGAUAUCUACCAGGCUUGAUUCGCUUCUAGGUUUUUAUUUAUUGUAAAUACUCUAGGUUUUUAUUUAUUGACUUAUUUCUUUAGUACUCAAUUUGAUUGGCUUGAUUUUUUUUCAUGGACUUUUCAUGAGCAAUGGCUCGUUUCUGAAGUGGUUCUGAGUUUAGAGAUCAAUUACAGAGGUUGAUUUUCCAGAGGCUGGCUUUAACUCAAACGGGUAAGUAUUUAAUUCAAAUUUAGAUUCAAGACAGGCUUGCAUCUGUGUUAUUUGGAAUUGCUGUUGAAAUUAAAACUCUGAUUAGUAUCUUUAGAGAGAAAGACUUGGAAGAUUCUCCUUUUUCAGUUUUGGCUUCAAACUUAAACGAAGAAGUUUCAGAGUUCAUAAGAAGGUCCAGGAGCUAUGGAAGAGUGGAGGGCUGCAGAGAGGAUCAAGAAGAGUAGUACAUGGUGGAGAGAUGGGUUCGGCCUUGGCAACAGAGGGAUCAAGUGUAUAUGAUUGAAGGGUGCACAAGGUGCUGUUACUGCUAUGAUGUACUUUACAUUGUUACAACCCUGCUCGCGCAUCCCAGCUAUCCUCUACUAUAAGAAAAUGUUACUGCCUCUGAUCGCUCUAUUUUUAACUUCUGUAUUCAGUCUGUUUCUCCAAUUCCAGUAUAAGUAAGAAACUUCAAAUUUGUUUUCAACUUGACACUACUACAGAAAGGUUUGGCAUUCUCAAAUGCUUGCCAUAAAAUUUACAUGAAGCAAAAUCUAUUCGGAUUGAAAAGUUCAAGACAAACUCAUGGAUGCUCUUAAUGAAUGUGAUGUGGCAAUGCUUGUAAAGUUGUAGUUAGAUUAGAUUGUAACUUAUAGUUUAGUGCACUUGGGAAAAUAAAUCUGUGCUCAUUUGAUAUUGUAUAUUGGAUGUUUAUAUAUAAGUUUGGUUAGUAAUGGUGUAAAUAAAUUUGCAUAUUUUAAUUUUUUUUUUGUUUCAUGAAAAAGAUACAAGGACGUUUUUUUAGUGUCCUUAUAGAUAUUUGAUAACGCUUUUUUAAGUUAUAAAGACGCUUUUCUAGUGUCCUUAUAAACAUUAGACGACGUUUAUUUAUAGAAACAAGGACACUUUUCUAGUGUCCUUAUAAACAUUACAUGACGUUUAUUUAUGGAAACAAGGACACUUUUCCAGUGUCCUUGUAGAUAUUUAAGGACGUUUUUUCAACGUCCUAAUAGAUGACUUACUAUGACUCCUUGAUAGAUGACGUUUUUUUUGCGUGUCAUCUAAAGUUUUUUAUGACGUUUUUCAAACGUCCUUAAACCUAUUUUCUGUAG